rnacentral:lncRNA from 1 species
GGCGUCGGACCCCAUAGUGCAGCCGAUCAAAAGAGAGAAGAAGGUCCGCCCGACCGAUGCAUCCUCGAUCGGUCGGCAGCCAUCGAUCGGUCGGCGGCCGUCGGUCAGUCGGCAGAGUCGAAUGCCGAUCAUGUAAGCCCGACGAUGAGUCGACGUGAGUGGGGUCGGUCGGUAUCCCCCAACAGCCAGCUUGAGCUAGGUGCAUGUAACAGAAUUUGUCGUGGUGCCAUGCCACCAGAAUUUGUAUGACGCGUGAAUGAUUUUUGCACGCGUUAGGGCCUGGUGUGCUUCAUCUCGUGCCGUAACAGGAUGCGUCCGAUGAACAAUGCGCGCCCCUUCCACAUCCGAACAUGGCACGUGUGACAGUCAGGUCAUAUGUCAUAUUCGCGUGCGGGU